rnacentral:rRNA from 1 species
UACGGAGGGUGCGAGCGUUGUCCGGAAUCACUGGGCGUAAAGGGCGCGUAGGCGGCCUGAUAAGUAGGGGGUGAAAUCCUGCGGCUUAACCGCAGGGCUGCCUUCUAAACUGUCAGGCUAGAGCACAGUAGAGGCAGGUGGAAUUCCCGGUGUAGCGGUGGAAUGCGUAGAGAUUGGGAAGAACAUCCGUGGCGAAAGCGCUCUGCUGGACUGCAACUGACAUUGAGGGACGAAAGCUAGGGGAGCGAAUGGG